rnacentral:lncRNA from 1 species
AUCCAACAUAAAUUGGUCUGUUUAUACGUUUAAAUUAAGCAUGUGUAUAAAUUGAGCAGAAGCACUUUGCUACCUGGGGAUUUGGUGAAGUUCCAUUGUAAGAAAUGUCUUGGAAAACAUGAGGAUGUGGUAGGCUAGUACUCUAAGCCAAGAUAUGCUUCUACUUUAUUUCUGAGUCUUCUACAGGCUUGAGUGAUCUGCUUUUCCAUAUAUACUUAUACUCUCUUGAUCACAUGUUGGGUGAAGCAUGACUGCCUUUUGAACCUGAGGGACUUGCCUUUUGCUCUCCCAGGGGCAGUUAAUCUGAGAAAUUAAGUGCUGGAGGCAACAUUACUAUUUGUUUUUCUUGCCGGUUGAAAUGUCAGCGGCAAUGGCUUCCAGUGUCCACAUAUAAUAUAUUGGAGGAUCUCCCAGGCACCAUGUUGCUUUUAACCACAGAUAAGGCAUUGCUCAGCUGAAAGAUCAAAAUCAGUCACGUUUCUCUUCCUUGUAAUAGUGGCUUCAGGAUUAGAAGCUGAUGAGACUAAUGCCGAAACAGACUGAGAUAAUUAAUUUGUUUUCCUUUUGCUCUAUUUUUUUGAUACUGUAUGGUUCAGGUUUUUGCAUUUCUCAGUAAUUAGAGAGUAUUUACUAAAAAUAAAGCAGAUAGUUUAAUACUAUGCAGUAACAGAAAUUAUUUCUGUACUGUCUGUAGGUUACAAUGGUCUUUAACUGAAGCAUAGGAUACAAAAAGGCUUAAGGCACAGUCCUAAAAUCUGGCAAUACUGUGAUAUCCUGCUGAAGUCAAUAGCACUGUCAUGGACUCAUAUGAACUCCCAACAGCAAAAGGGACUUGCUACUGCAAACGUGGCUGUAUGACUCGGGGAAGAAUACUUCUGAUAUCAUCUCAUGGGAGGCAUUACACACGGGCUGAUCUCAUCACAGUUUCAGGCAAGCCUCGAUGCUUUGGAUUUUGCAGUGCAUUUUGAUUCCCUAUGCCAUUGUUCUGAUGCGAGCAGAGAAUGAUGCACAACAACAACAACAACAACAACAACAACAAAAACCUUCUCCUUCCUCUUAAUGAUGCCAAAUGUGAAUUGUGUAAUGAAAUACAUGUGUAGCAAUAUUAGCUUCUUUCCAAAAUGAGGUGCACAGAAAUCGAGAAGUGCCCAUCACACAGUAUGAAUAUGCAAGUAGUCAUUACAAGAACCAUGCUUCCAAAUGUGGCAACAAAGCUUUGGAGGUCUGACGAAGAUGAUUUCAUGCCAUCUGCCACCUGCUUCUGAAGGAUAAUGGCUGGCUGGUGUGUACGAGGCUUGUUCUAAAUGUUAUCAUACUGUCUUCUUUCUUAAAUUAUGUGGCUAAAAUGAGCCUGUCUUUGUUUUAUUUCAAUUGACACCAGAUGCAGGGACUUGGAUUUGGGUUUUCUGUUUUGCAAACACAAGCUUGGCAAAGAGAAAGGAGGAUGAUAGGCAAAGCAACUCAGAUAACAGAAGAAACACUUCUGAUAAGAUCACCUAAAUAUCAAACUUACAAAUAAAUAAAUAAAUAAAUUUUAAAAAGCA